ensembl:snoRNA
AUCCUUUUGUAGUUCAUAAGCACGAUGAUGUCGUGUUCACGCCGUUGUGUGACACGUGCCUCCCUCAAACCUUGUUACAACCUUGGCACAUUACCCUCUGAUG